CAAAAGAAGUAUGGAGCAGCAGAAGUGGCACUUCUGAAAGACAUCACCACAAAAAACCUGUGGCCAAAAAGAAAGCAAGGUUGUAUGUCCCGGCCCAAACACAGCAGGCUACCCCGCCACGAAGAUUAUUGUCCGUAUGUUCUGUACCCCCACUCCAAAUUUUGGACACACCUCCAAGACGUCAUCCACACUCCCCUCAUCUUGAUUCUUCGAGUCCUAGGAACAGCAUCCCUCCGCAACAUCAGCAACACAGUGACAUAGAGGAGACAAACAUCUUAGAAAUGCAGCCAUUAAUGCAAGGAAUGAGCCCCCCAGCACCUGUGAGUACACCACCACAGCAAAGCACACCACCACCACAACACAGCCCAACAACACCAGGAACACAAGGCCCUGAUCAGGUGUUUUGGUCUCUUUGGGCUAGACAGCAGGCCACUAAUGAAUAUUGUCUGCGUAAGCAGACACAAAUGUUUGCAAGCCUACCAUCUCACCUCAGAAGAAUAUCAAGAAAUCUGAGUAGACAAAAUGAACAAACAACCAGAAUAGGCAAUACCAUGGAACUCAUGCGUACAGACAUUACACAGGUCAUGGGCAACUUACAGUGCAUAAUGGAAGAACAGCACAGACAACAGCAAAGUUAUAUGAGCAUUUUUCAAAACAAUCAAAAGAUUAAUGAAAGUUUAUUCCCAAUAGUAGACAAUCAAAAUGCUGCUACACGUGAACUCAAUGCCACCCUCACUAACCUGAAUGAAACACUCAGAUGCAUGCACCAACAGCAAACAAGCAGCAGUUCUGGUAUGACUACUCCAAAUAUCACGCCAGCCUCAUCACCACCAAGACGCUCCACCAGUGCACGACAACAUGACAGUGCUAAAGGCAAAGGGCAGGACAAGCAGCCACCCAAAAAAAAGUGAAAAAAUAACAAGUUAGACAUUUGUGAUAAGUAACUCAAAAUAGUAAGUGUAUUUUUUGGCAAAAAUAUAGAACACUUAGCUCCUUGACACUUUUAUCAACAUCAAUAAUUAUAAGUGGUACAAACAAAAAAAAUGUACGCACAUUUAUUCUUUACCAUUUUUUUUAGGUAUUGGAGGAGGGAAAUGUUGAUGGAGCCACACAUACAUGUUAGCAGAAAGUAAACUGACCACUUGAUUUUUUUCUAAUCAUUACUCUUUCUAGAUUCCAAUCAUUCUCUUUUCCUGCAGACAAUCCAAAUUACAAUGUUAUUGAUACAUAUUUUAGCUUUCUUCUCUAUACAACAUUACAAGAAAAACACAAUUGAGUUGCGAAAAAAGCUUGUAAUAUGUUGGCUUUGUUUUGUUGUAAAAACAUUGACAAAAUGAAUGUCAGUAUUAUUGGGACAUGUUUGUGUGUGUUAAAAAUUAGUAAGAAUGUUUUUACACAUGAUGCUGAAACAAACAAAUAUGUACUUUUACUACAAAAAUCAAAGAAUGUGUUUAAUAAUGUAUAUGUGUGGCAAACUGUGUAUUUACUUACACAUCAUCAAGUUUACAGCAUCAAACAUUAGGAAAUAAAUUAUUCCUGAUUACA